CAUUGUCGAUCUUCUGCUGGAUAUAAUGGUGGAGUGCUGCCAGCCUGCAGAAUCGAAGAAGCAUAACGAGCGUCAGAAUGGGAAGCUUCAAGCGGUUCCAGAGAGUGCCAAGAUUGAUCUCAACUCGAGAGAAGGUGGUACUGCUGCUUUGAAUGAAGAGGAUUCUGCACAGAGGGUGUUCAACCAGAGGCUGGACGACGCUGCUGAUGGCAUUGGCUGCCUACAAGCGGUACAAAGCUGUGAAAUAGAUGGUAAACGUGUCGCUCAAGUACCUGAAUCAGAGCCAUCAGUAAUCCAUUCAAACGAGGUAAGCUAGUCUUGAAGUUUCUGUUGGAUCGCUAACAUGGCCACUCAUUGUCUGUGGAUUCGAGAAG
rnacentral:lncRNA from 1 species